AGUUUACCUAACAACUAGUUUUAGAAGUGUUUAAUAUUACAAGCAUACAAUUUUGACUGUAGGAAUCUAAAAUUUAUUUUUGGUAGGGUGAAUCUACUUGGAUUCAGCCUCCUCCGCACCCGUUUUCAUUUACAUUCAGUCCAUUCAUUUUCCCAUCUAAACUGUGUAUCAUUUAGGAGUGAAAGCCUUUGCGCUGGAGAGAUUCGUUAUGAAAUCUUAUCUUACCUUCUACCCAAUGCGUCCCAGAUACAUAAAGGUACCUAAUUAUUAUGAAGAAAACGUUUUACUACGUGGUGUGGUAAAUAUACAUGAACCUUCCGAAAUGUAUAAAUAUGUUGUAUUCGUUAAAUAAAGUAUAAUAAAGAAGUGAUAUACAGUGUGUCCCAGAUCGACUGGGAUUGCAUGCCUACUUAUAUAAAAUUUUGGAGAGUUGUAACGCCCAAACCCCCCUCCCAUGAGGGCGCUCAGGAGUAAGUUGAUUAGGUCACCAGACCUCACUGUCUUAGAUUUUUCUCUGCAAGGAAGAAUCAAAGACGUCAUGCAACCAGGGAAAACAUGGAGGAAAGAAUUAGAACGGCUCUUCAAAAUAUUUCAAGGGCCGAAAUUGAAACCGCCGUUUUAUAAAAUGAUGGGCAGUAUUUUGAACAUCUAAGUAGUUCGUCAUUAAUCUUUAAUUCAAUUGUUUUACUUGUUCUUUAAAUUACGUUU